GUGAGGAAUUUUGCGCAAUGGGGGCAACCCUGACGCAGCGACGCCGCGUGGAGGACGAAGUCUUUCGGGAUGUAAACUCCUGUCAGUGGGGACGAUAAUGACGGUACCCACAGAGGAAGCACCGGCUAACUCCGUGCCAGCAGCCGCGGUAAGACGGAGGGUGCAAGCGUUGUUCGGAAUUACUGGGCGUAAAGCGUAUGUAGGCGGCAAGUUAAGUUCAAUGUUAAAGCCCACGGCUCAACCGAGGAGAUGCAUUGAAUACUGGCUAGCUAGAGGGUGUUAGAGGAAGACGGAAUUCCCAGUGUAGCGGUGAAAUGCGUAGAUAUUGGGAGGAACAUCGGUAGCGAAAGCGGUCUUCUGGGACAUACCUGACGCUGAGGUACGAAAGCAUGGGGAGCAAACAGGAUUAGAUACCCCAGUAGUCC
rnacentral:rRNA from 1 species